GGUGAGACACAGCCACCUCCGCCUCUACAGGAGACCCUCCAGCACUAGCAGGAUCGAUCCCCAAAAGUGGACUCCUUGGGUUAAAAGGCAGCAAGAAAGACCACAGCAGCCAUGACAUGCAGGGGCUGGCCUGGCGUCACAGCGGCGCCCUGAUGUCCUCCUGUGGAACACAGGGUUCGAGUCCUUGUCCGGGAAGAUCCCACAUGCUGCGGAGCAACUAAGCCUG